rnacentral:rRNA from 1 species
AAUGAACGCUGGCGGCGUGCUUAACACAUGCAAGUCGAGCGAGGCCUGGGGGGCAACUCCCAGAGUCGAGCGGCGGACGGGUGAGUAACACGUGGGUAACCUGCCCGGAAGUGGGGAAUACCUCGGGAAACUCGAGCUAAUACCGCAUGACAUCUCCGGGACGAAAGUCCUGGCGAUCAAAGCGGGGUCGCAAGAUCUCGCGCUACCGGAUGGGCCCGCGCCCGAUUAGCUAGUUGGGAGGUAACGGCUCACCAAGGCUUCGAUCGGUAACCGGCCUGAGAGGGCGAUCGGUCACACCGGAACUGAGACACGGUCCGGACUCCUACGGGAGGCAGCAGUGGGGAAUCUUGCGCAAUGGGCGAAAGCCUGACGCAGCAACGCCGCGUGGAGGAUGAAGGCCCUUGGGUUGUAAACUCCUGUCGGCUGGGAAGAAAUCGUUCGGGGCUCAUACCCUCGG